GCACUACUGAGGAGUCCCAUACUAGGACGAAACGGAUGUCCAGUGC
rfam:Schistosoma haematobium scaffold267_33, whole genome shotgun sequence.